UACGUAGGGUGCAAGCGUUAAUCGGAAUUACUGGGCGUAAAGCGUGCGCAGGCGGCUUUGCAAGACAGAUGUGAAAUCCCCGGGCUUAACCUGGGAACUGCAUUUGUGACUGCAUGGCUGGAGUGCGGCAGAGGGGGAUGGAAUUCCGCGUGUAGCAGUGAAAUGCGUAGAGAUGCGGAGGAACACCGAUGGCGAAGGCAGCCCCCUGGGCUAGCACUGACGCUCAGGCACGAAAGCGUGGGGAGCAAACAGG
rnacentral:rRNA from 1 species